rnacentral:rRNA from 1 species
GGAUCAAUUGAUUGGUCAUGCCUUGGUAUGUACUGGUCAUAUUGGUUCUCACCUUCUAAUGAACCAUAAUGUCAUUUAUUUGAUGUUAUGGGGAAUUAGGACUGUUACCUUGAAAAAAUUAGAGUGUUUAAAGCAGGCUUACGCUUGAAUACAUUAGCAUGGAAUAAUAGAAUAGGACUU